rnacentral:rRNA from 1 species
UACGUAGGCAGCGAGCGUUGUUCGGAGUUACUGGGCGUAAAGAGUGCGUAGGCGGUGUUCCAAGUCUGUUGUGAAAUCUCCCGGCUCAACUGGGAGGGUGCGGUCGGAAACUGGGACGCUGGAGUACGGGAGAGGUAAGCGGAAUUCCUGGUGUAGCGGUGAAAUGCGUAGAUAUCAGGAGGAACACCUGCGGUGUAGACGGCUUACUGGACCGUAACUGACGCUGAGGCACGAAAGCGUGGGGAGCGAACAGG